UACGUGGGGGGCAAGCGUUGUUCGGAAUUACUGGGCGUAAAGGGCGCGUAGGCGGCCUACUAAGUCGGACGUGAAAUCCCUCGGCUCAACCGAGGAACUGCGUCCGAUACUGGCAGGCUGGAAUCCGGGAGAGGGAUGUGGAAUUCCAGGUGUAGCGGUGAAAUGCGCAGAUAUCAGGAAGAACACCUAUGGCGAAAGCAGCUCUCUGGGACGGUACUGACGCUGAGACGCGAAAGCGUGGGGAGCGAACAGG
rnacentral:rRNA from 1 species